rnacentral:rRNA from 1 species
AGUGAACGCUGGCGGUAGGCCUAACACAUGCAAGUCGAACGGCAGCACAGUAAGAGCUUGCUCUUACGGGUGGCGAGUGGCGGACGGGUGAGGAAUACAUCGGAAUCUACUUUUUCGUGGGGGAUAACGUAGGGAAACUUACGCUAAUACCGCAUACGACCUACGGGUGAAAGCAGGGGAUCUUCGGACCUUGCGCGAUUGAAUGAGCCGAUGUCGGAUUAGCUAGUUGGCGGGGUAAAGGCCCACCAAGGCGACGAUCCGUAGCUGGUCUGAGAGGAUGAUCAGCCACACCGGGACUGAGAAACGGGCCAGACUCCUACAGGGGGGAGCAGGGGGGAAUAUUGGACAAUGGGCGGAAGCCUGAUCCAGCCAAACCGCGUGGGUGAAGAAGGCCUUCCGGUUUUAAAACCCUUUUGUUGGGAAAGAAAAGCAGCAGGUUAAUACCCCGCUGUUCUGACGGUACCCAAAGAAUAAGCACCGGCUAACUUCGUG